rnacentral:tRNA from 1 species
GCCCUAAUAGUAUAAACAUUACUUUGGUCUUGUAAACCAAAAAUGAAGCUACAAGCUUCUUAGAGCA